rnacentral:tRNA from 1 species
GGGGUUGUGGCUUAGUGGUAAAGCACUUGCCUGGCAUGUAUGUGUGAGGCACUGGGUUCAAUUCUCAGCACCACA